rnacentral:rRNA from 1 species
UACGUAGGGGGCAAGCGUUGUCCGGAUUUAUUGGGCGUAAAGAGCGUGUAGGCGGCCACACAGGUCUGCUGUGAAAACUCGAGGCUCAACCUCGAGCUGUCGGUGGAAACCGUGUGGCUAGAGUCCGGAAGAGGAGAGUGGAAUUCCCGGUGUAGCGGUGAAAUGCGUAGAUAUCGCCUGGAACGCCGAAGGUGAAAACAGUCUGCUGGGGGUGUGCCGACGCUGAGACACGAAAGCCAGGGGAGCGAACGGG